rnacentral:rRNA from 1 species
CGUAGGCGGCUCUGUUUGUCGCGUGUGAAAGCCCCGGGCUCAACCUGGGAGGUGCGCGCGAGACGGCGGGCUGGAGUUCGGGAGAGGAGCGUGGAAUUCCCAGUGUAGAGGUGAAAUUCGUAGAUAUUGGGAAGAACACCGGUGGCGAAGGCGGCGCUCUGGACCGAGACUGACGCUGAGGCGCGAAAGCGUGGGGAGCAAACAGGAUUAGAUACCCUGGUAGUCCACGCCGUAAACGAUGUGUGCUAGACGUUGGGAGGCCUAGCCUCUCGGUGUCGCAGCCAACGCGGUAAGCACACCGCCUGGGGAGUACGGCCGCAAAGGUUAAA